GUCCUGCGUCCGUCGUCCGUAAACUUUUACAAAAAUCUUCUCCUCUGAAACUACUUGGCCAAAUUCUACCAAACUUGGCCACAAUCAUCCUUGGGGUAUCUAGUUUUAAAAAAUGUGUGGCGUGACCUGUCAAACCAACCAAGAUGGCCGCCAUGGCUAAAAAUAGAACAUAGGGGUAAAAUGCAGUUUUUGGCUUAUAACUCAAAAACCAAAGCAUUUAGAGCAAAUCUGACAGGGUAAAAUUGUUGAUCAGGUCAAGAUCUAUCUGCCCUGAAAUUUUCAGACGAAUCGGAC
rnacentral:lncRNA from 1 species